GGAUUUGGAGAAGCUCCUUCUUUUUCCACUCCCUCACCUCUCUCCUCCCCCAGUUACUCAUGCAAUGGCAGCAAUGGUUUGGCUGGAAUGCAGAGUGGAUGUGGAAGAUGUGAAUAUGCUUUGGAAUUCCAGAGGAGGAGCUGAGCCAAUAAUAUGUCCAACUAUAAUGCAGAACUGUUGUAAUUACUUAGGAACAGUGGGAAUGAUAGCAGAGUAUUGUCAGUAAUCGCACGUCAAAUUCUGCCAUUCCCUAAAAUAGGACAACCACAGAGCAACUCUGCUGGGACCCAUAGGGCUGUGUUGGCUCGGAGGUGGUUGGGAAAGAAGAGAAGGGGCUGAUCUUGGAGUUACCCAAAAGCAGUGGCAAACCAAAGGCAAGGAAACUGCAACUUGAAGAGUCAGACAUCAGAGGACGAAGUUGCCGCAUGUAUCCCAGCACUGCUAAACUUGUGGCUUAGAAACAAGAUGGAAAUAUUUCUGGACGACACUCAUUUCCCAAUGCUCCGUAGAGACCGCAGAACCUUGCAAAACAGUUCGCAUUCGUCAAUGUUUUAUUCCUAUGACUAAAACCCCGUGGGAUUUAAGUGUGCUUCUCCGUGUUGUCUGGCAAGGAAUUGGGUAAUGAAUGACCACGUUAGGAACCACUUGGCCAGAAAACAGAUGAGAACAACAUUGGUGAGCACUGUCUGAUCAUGAGGAGUGAGAUGAAGGAGGGAGAGAGAUGGAACACCGAUGGUUCAUUGCAGACUUACUUGGGAAACUCUGCAAAGAUGGCACUUUGUGCAUCUUUCUCCUUCACCCAUUUUAUUUCAUUUCUGGGCUGUCAUUUCAGCAACAUCUUUAACAAAUGAAAACCCUCUGCGCAGUCAAUAGUAAUUACAGGAAUUUAUCACAAUUGCCAAUCAAGGUGUGUUGGAAAGACUCAUCUUUCUCGUUUAAAUUAGCCUUCGCUGCGCACAGGCCACAAGUUAUCUUUAGGAAAUCAAUUGUGGGAAAAUUACAGCUUUUGUGGUGUUCUGUGACCUCAGCAGCCAUCACGCAGCUGAGUUCCCUCCCACCCUCCCCCCCCCAGCUGCUUGUGUGGCCUCGUACAGCUGUUUGCUGGGGGGUUUGGACCUCAGCACAAAGCCUGGAAUUGUUCUUCAUGCAUCUGGAGGCAGUGAGGGUGUCAGAUAAAAUGUAGGCAUGAUUCGGGCACUUUUGUAAAUGAACAGGAGGAGAGAAGGCCCUGGUCAGAUUUACACCUUUAUCUGUUUCACUGCUCCGAACCAGGCUGGCAGGAGUUCUGCCUUCGGCAGUGCUGAUGCAGCUCCCAUUGGAAAUGCAGACCAGGCUGACACAGCUCAGGGCAAAAUUCAGCUGUGCGUGGAGCUGCAAACGCCGUCUCCCGGAUGAUUAAUGCACAUUUGUAAGGAGUUUCUUCUCUGCUGAUAAUGCUGCCAUGAGGAAGGAUCUUCAGCUGCUAUAUAUCAGCCUGAGUUCUGACUGUAGGUGAGUACAGGUUUCCUCCUCCACUCCCACUGCUUCCCCAGAGACAGCGGUGUUUGCAGAGGCUUAAUAAAGCAGGAAAGAGAGCAGGUGUGAAAGGAAACAUCAAUUACCAUUAGCCCUGACAAUCCUGGACGAUCCCACCCAUGGCGAAGGUGCAAUGACAGUCAAUUCUGUGGUUCUUUCUAUGCAGAUAAGUGAAGUGCUUUCCUUUUCUGGUGAGGGUGAGGCUGGUGAGGGCACUGGGAUGGAGGAAGGUGUGGAUUUCUGUUUGUGAGGUCUGUGCUGUUGUUGUAACUGGACUGAGUUCAGACUUCCACAGGCAAUUCCUCCCCUGAAGACUCUGCAACCUGAACACAUGGGAGAACCAAUGGUUCUGCUGCACAGCACUCAUUAGAGAAGGGGAAUUCAUGGCCAGGUAUUCGAAGGUGCCCAGGAAUGGGUCUUCUGCUGGAGCAAACACUAGAGCCACUAGAGCUGAGCUGAGUUCCAAGUGGUUUCCAAAUACAGAGCGGGUUCUCCUGCUCUGAUGAGCUGCUUGCAGUGCUCAGGGCUCUACGUGCUGUCCCCAAAGGGGCGGCCUGAAGCCUCAGCAGCAGUCCUCAGUGCUGCUUCCUAAUUAGCACCCUCUUCCUCUGACUCGGACAUCUGCUUGCACUGAGUUUCACAGGUUCUUCAAUAGCUAAUGGGUGGUAUUUAUUUCCAUUCCUUUGGUGCCUUAAAUAUAACAAUAAUUCAGUGUAUCUCAUUUUGGGGGAAUGAAAGAUCACCCUUAUUUUCAGCUCAUUUUUUGUGUUUUAUUUCUCUCCCUUUUUUUAUUGAGCUCUGAACAUUAAUAAUCAGCCCUCAUUAACUCAGUUAAUUCUUCAAAUCCUCAUAUUCUUCAUGCCCAGCACCAUAAAGCCAAAGAAGGGACUAAUGAAAGCUGAAGAGAUGGUUAGAGUUAUUAAAAAUCAAUUUUUUUUUGUAUCUGGUAACCCUGGGGUGUUAAUAUUCUCAUCUCAUGUCUUCUCAGCCUCAUUCCUCCCACAGGAACUCUGGGUUUGCAGAGCGCAGGAGGACCUCAGUGCAGGAUAUUCAGGAGCCCUUUGGUUUUGAGGCCGUCCCAUGAUGUUACAGCACAUCUCCUGGGGGAGUUCUGAGGUCUCUGCAGUGCAGGAAGGAGAGUUUUGCAGUCCUGAAGACGGUCGUGCACUGCUGAGCACUGCAAUCAGCAUUAGAGGAGGGCAGGGUGAGGGUUGUGCAGGCACUGUUCCCUCUUGCGCAGGCAGAGCGCUGCUGGUAAGGGGCUGGGAGCAGCCUGAGCUCUGCCCUUCAGCUCAGAUUAGCGAUAAUGGAAAAUGCAGAACAUUAAACAGCGGCGUGAUUGCAUUGCGGAGGAGGACUGGCAAAUGGGUUCGUCCUGAUGCAAGGGUGUGAAAAAGGGGUCGCCGAGCUGAGUUUACUUCAGGCUUAAGAAGCGAGAGAAAUGUUUUUCAGGUUUUGCAACAAUUCAUUCCUGUCUUGUUUUUGAUCUGACUUCAUUCCCUCAGCGUGCCUCUCCUUUCAGCAGUGUCUUUAAUUCAUGAAUUCAUCUGCACGUCUUGUUUUCCUGAAUUACCCUUCCCAUUUCCUUUACUGGGGUGAAUCCGAAUGUCCCCCUCCAAACCAAAUGCUGCCCAUUGGAACACAGUCCUUGGUGCAGAGAUCCCUGUUGCUGUGGCAGGGCAGGGCUGCUGAGGAGGGAGGGAGGAGAAGGGGAGCAGCAGAGCCAGCAGAGCUGGUGAUGUGCAGCUGCAGAGCUCCCGCUGGGCACUGCCGGGCUGAGACUGGGCACCAUGGCAACCAGGAUGAUGCUCCUUGGAGUCCCUGAUCUGCUAAAUGGGUGGCAAUCUCGUUAUGAAAGGUGGAGAAAGGUGGUUUUUUCCCCAGCAUUUUCCUCCCCCUAAUGUUGACAAUGCACCAAGAGGAACAAAACACGCUUCUGGAGCACUCAGACCCACUGCCGUGGGAUGGGGUGGUGGUGUGGGUGGCCAUGCUGCUGAGCUGUGUUCCCUUCAGAGCAUCACUGCCUCCUGUGCUCACCCAGCGGGCGGCUCUCAGGGGGACCCCAUUGUGUAUGCUGCCCGGGUUCCUGCGGGAUUCGCUUUUAAAUCUCUUUUUCAAACAGAUAAUUAAAACAUAAUGGUGUUUACAUUACAGAUGGAGCUGAGAGAAAAAUAAUAAUAGUAAUAAUAAUCGUAAUAAACACUACUUUGCCACUCAGGGGAGUUUGUCAAAUGACUCUUACAGAGGCUUGGCGCACUUUAAUGAGUCUAAAGAAGAGGAUUUACGCUGAACAAACUCACUCCAUGGCGCACACGUGGCGGUGGGAUGAGGGAGCUCUCCGCAGUGCUGAACCUGCAGCAGGACGACAUGGAAGAAAAUAAAGGAAACGGGAACUAAGAGAAAUCAAACCAGCGUGAAUACUUGCCAGCUUGUACAUUAUGCAGUACUUUGAAGCACGUUUCUUCCUACACCUUGAGCAUACACAGGGGACCGAUUUUCCUCCUGCUCAUGCUGAUGUGUGGAGCUGUCAGUGGGAACUGUGUGGCUCCUGGGUUACCCCCCAGUCAGUGCAAACAGCAUCAGUCAUGGGAGGAGUACAUCACUUUUACAGGGAGGACUCCAUGAUUAAUCCAGGCCGCACAGAGGACGUUCAAUAGGCAGAGUCCUUUACUUACAACUUAUGGAACAAUGUGAUAUCCAACUCAGAACACAGUCAGAGUUUUGUUAAGCUUGCUUUCAGCCAUCAGCAGGUGACAACAGAUUUAUUAACUGGAGUGGAUGCCCAGGAGCUCAGAUUCGUGACUUAAUGGAGCUGGACUGUGCUGGGUGCUGUGGAAAUACAAAAUGGGUUCAUAUAGAAGUCUGAUGGAAACUAUCAGUGCUCCAUCCUCUCUGGGCAUGUGCCUCUGUGCAUGGUGCUUCUUCCCAACCAGAGCACAUCAGAGCCAGAGCAGAGCUGCUGUCUUCACAUUUAUCCCCAUUCCCAAAGACUCGGCUGAACAAUCAAGGAGGUGAACUCCCAACCUGGAGAUUACUGCUGCAUUAAUAAAGCAACUGUGAACGAACUGCUUCAGCUGCUUGAGCCAACCAGGAUUAUUAAACGAGCUCCCUGAUUUAAUUAGAGUGCGUAAAACUCAUGCUAAAAACAAAAAUGCAGCUCUCAGCUGGAACGUGAGCUUUGUGCAGGAGGGGUCACUGCGAAGGUCAGCUCUUCCUGCAGUUUAUUCACAGUGAUUGAAUCAAACACUGAGGUGGAAGCAGACAGCCCCAGCAGAGCUGCUGUCCUGCAGCACAGCUCUGGGCACUGCCUGAGGGCAGCAGGCACUGCGGCUUUGUUCCGCCUGCCCGGCUCCUUGUGUGAAACAGCCUGAAAGAACAGGGUCUGCAUUGGAUUACAGAAAUAAAGCCACGUGCAUCAGCACUGCCAGUCUUACUGCAUUGCACACAGCGUGAGCUGCUCCCUGCUGGGCAGAUGGACAUGGAGACUCAGGGACAUGGGGACACAAGG
ensembl:lncRNA